ACCUCCCGCUCCAAAGUUGUUAAAGGCUGAACAAAAAAUACAAAAUGCCUUGUUGAAGAUAGAAAAUGAGCGGCCUGAAAAUAUUAAGUUAUGGGCUGCACGAUUAAAGGAUCUCUUUAAUGGAAAGAUGAGCAUUGAGAUUAAUGUGCCUAAGGAGAUGUACCCCAAGACUUUGUUUGAUAUCGAAGUUGAAUCCAUCGAAUAUGAGGGGAUGUUACAGUUUUUGGCGAACGGGUUGCUUGAGGCUAGCUUUUUACAUUGGUGUCAAAUAUAUUUGCAUAACGCAGUAUUUUAUAAAAUAGCUCCAGAAGACCCUAAAGUUGCCUACUUCAAUAUCCACCAAAUAACUGGAAAAGAGUGCGAGGAAAAUUUUGCAAGUGUAAAAGAACACUUGUUAAGUGUCUACAAACUUAAAAAGGGCACAAAAUAUUUUCUUGCACCCUUUUUUUAUAGCGCCCAUUGGGUUUUGUUUAUCGUUUCUCCCAAGGAACGAAGUGUUUGGAUUUUGGAUACGAUUUCGGUUAAGGCCAACAAGGAUAAAGAUGAUUAUCCUCUUUCGAGAGCAUAGAAUCUUCUUUUGGGAGUGGACUUACAUGGACCAUGGUUCAAUGUAAGCAACAAGACGGGUCUUGGGAGUGUGGGUUCAUGUGAUUUGGUUUAUGGUCCAGUUUGUUUUAAAGAAGCGAUUUCGUUUUCCAAACAAUAUUUGGACCGAGACAACAAGCGUAACACAAGAGGAAAUCGACAUGUUGGUUGAAAACAUCAUGACGCGGUUUUUUAAGAGUAAGAGUGUAGGUUGGUUGAAUACACCAUGAUGGGUUAGGUUAGUGUAGUCAUUUGAACUACUUUGGAAGAUGGGUUAGGUUAGUGUAGUUAUUUGAACAACUUUGGAAGUUAUUAUGUUUAGAACAACUUUUGUAAACUUUGGAAGUUAUUAUGUAAUCAAGAGGUUCUAUGAUGUUUGCUGA